rnacentral:sRNA from 1 species
UCUGUGCUUCGUGCUGCAGCGGUCGGCGC